rnacentral:rRNA from 1 species
GUCGAACGGUGAUGACCAGCUUGCUGGUCGGAUCAGUGGCGAACGGGUGAGUAACACGUGAGUAACCUGCCCCAGACUCUGGGAUAAGCCUUGGAAACGAGGUCUAAUACUGGAUAUGAGAUGCCCCUGCAUGGGGAGUGUCUGGAAAGAUUUAUCGGUCUGGGAUGGACUCGCGGCCUAUCAGCUUGUUGGUGGGGUAAUGGCCUACCAAGGCGACGACGGGUAGCCGGCCUGAGAGGGCGACCGGCCACACUGGGACUGAGACACGGCCCAGACUCCUACGGGAGGCAGCAGUGGGGAAUAUUGCACAAUGGGCGCAAGCCUGAUGCAGCGACGCCGCGUGAGGGAUGAAGGCCUUCGGGUUGUAAACCUCUUUCAGCAGGGAAGAAGCGCAAGUGACGGUACCUGCAGAAGAAGCGCCGGCUAACUACGUGCCAGCAGCCGCGGUAAUACGUAGGGCGCAAGCGUUGUCCGGAAUUAUUGGGCGUAAAGAGCUCGUAGGCGGUUUGUCGCGUCUGGUGUGAAAACUCAAGGCUCAACCUUGAGCUUGCAUCGGGUACGGGCAGACUAGAGUGCGGUAGGGGUGACUGGAAUUCCUGGUGUAGCGGUGGAAUGCGCAGAUAUCAGGAGGAACACCGAUGGCGAAGGCAGGUCACUGGGCCGCAACUGACGCUGAGGAGCGAAAGCAUGGGGAGCGAACAGGAUUAGAUACCCUGGUAGUCCAUGCCGUAAACGUUGGGCACUAGGUGUGGGGCUCAUUCCACGAGUUCCGUGCCGCAGCAAACGCAUUAAGUGCCCCGCCUGGGGAGUACGGCCGCAAGGCUAAAACUCAAAGGGAUUGACGGGGGCCCGCACAAGCGGCGGAGCAUGCGGAUUAAUUCGAUGCAACGCGAGAACCUUACCAAGGCUUGACAUACACCGG